UCGAAGAUGUGGUUUGCGAGUGCCCAUGGCAGGAUUCCCACUGCGGAGACUCCUGUACAUCGGGUAUGAGGCAGCACAUUGCGUGCAAUGCAUUCUGGUCUUUUUUCCUCCCUCCAGAAGAGGCUCCAUUUAUGUGUUAGGCUUUAAGAGGCUGGGCGUACCAAAAGGAAGUCUCUGAAACGCAGUCCUGUCGAACACCUCUGGAGUUGAUUCUUCUGAUAUCACAGGAGUUCUUCCUAUCACUGUAUAUUAUUGGGUGCGAGCCCCCGGUCCUUCCUCUAUGAGGAGGCAGUGGAGGGAAGAGUUGAACCUCUUCUCGCACACACACCUGAGACUCCCUGGCUCUCUCUGUGGGCCACAGGAUGGGCUUCAGUUAUGGCGAGUAAUAAUUUUGUUAUCGCGGUUUUUACAUUGAUUUGGAACAUGGUGUUACACAAAAUGCUGAAAUUGAAAAAGACAGGAUGAGUCACCUUUGCCCUGUCUCCUCUUCAAGUCUGAUCCUAAUUGAACGGAGAGUGCAAACUGCACGCCAAGAUUUGCAGAACAAAGGCCUCCCCGCCCACGAGUUCCUCAUGGCCUUGCCUCAGUCCCCGAAAUCCCGCUGUUAGCCUCCCUCACUAGAAUAAGGCAUUAGCACAGAAGCCAACGUUGGGGGAAAAGAAAAUCAAUACAGCGUGGAAGAGAAAGCAGGAAGCCAUGGAGGGAGGAAGAGACUGAGGCUCCGGCUGGAAGGACUUCGUUUGUGAUAAGAGCAGAGAGGAAAAGCAGCAAGAAAGAAAAGUCGCUGUACACUUUGGGUCUGGACAUCAAAGAAACAAAGGAAAUGCUUAGAUUCAGAGUGGCACGUGUGUAGAAAAAAGUCCUGCUUUCCUGUCUUGGGGGACACCACUAUCAUCCCAUGUAAGUGACCAGUGCUCCCCAAGUGGCCCUCUCCUGGCAUUUCACUGAGACACAAGCUCCCUGAAAGCUGGGGCUUACCUGACCAUGUGCCCCCUGCACUCCCAGGGCUGAGACCUGCGUCUGGUCCCUGCUAGACACCCAGCGAGGGUUGACAGCAUGAGCGAAUGAGCUUCUCCGUCUGCCCGUAAGUGUGAUGGACACCUUCUCCUACAGCCACCCGUUUCACACAUCAGGCAAACGUCUGUCAAGUCCACUCCUGAAAAUCCUGGUAUUUUCUCUACUUCUCUAUGAUAAUUUUAAUGUUUCCUUGAGGCAGUAUUCUUGCACCGGAAAGCAGCAUGAAUGAGGACUUGGAAAGCCCCCGCUUGCCUACGAAGGCGUCAUGGAAGGAUGUGGCAUUGGACAGGUGAUGCAGUCACAGCCUCGCCCUAGGCCACUCCGGGUCUCUGCUGCCAGGCUACGAGGAGCAGAGAAACACAGGUCCUCUAGCGCAGAGAGUGAGCCUGACCUUUGAAGAUUUGAAGCCAGUUAUUGACUUCUCUCCAGCCAUGAAAGUCCUAGAAGGCAUCUUCUUCCAAUAGAAGGCUGUUUGGUCUACACUGAAAGUCUGUUGUUUAGUGGAGCCAUCUUCAUUGACGGUCUUAGCUAGAUCUUCUAAAGAACUUGCUGCAGCUUCUCCAUGAGCACUUGUUAUUUCACCUUACACUUUUAUGUUAUGGAGACGGCUUCCUUCCUUAAACCUCAUGAACCAACCUCUGCCAGCUUCAAACUUUUCUUUUGCAGCUUCCUUACCUCCCUUGGCCUUCACAGAAUUGAAGAGAGUUAGGGCCUUGCUCUGGAUUAGGCUGUGGCUGCAGGGAAUGUUGUGGCUGGCUUGAUCUUCUAUCCAAAGCACUAAAUCUCGCUCCAUAUCAGCAAGGAGCUUGUGUCACUUUCUUAGCAGUUGUGUGUUCACUGGCAUAGCACUUUUAAUUUCCUUCAAAAACUUUUCCUUUUUAUUCACAACUUGGCUAACUGGCACAAGAGGCCCAGCUUUCAGCCUAUCUUGGCUUUCACCAUGGCUUCCUCACUAAGCUUAAUCAUUUCUAGCUUUUGAUUGAAACUGAAAGAUAAUGUGACCCUUCUUUUACUUGAACACUUACAGGCUGUGGUUGGGUUUCAAUGUUGUUGAAACCCAACAUUGUUUUUGUGUCUCAGGGAAUGGGGAGGCCCCAGGAGAGGGAGGGAGACCAGAAACGGCCAAUCAGUGGAGCAGUCAGAACACACACAACGUUUAUCCAUUAAGUUCAUCAUCUUAUAUGGUGCCGUUCAUGGCACCCCACGACAAUUCCAAGAAUAACAUCAAAGAUCACUGAUCACAGAUCACCAUGAGAGAUAUCAUAAUAAUGACAAGGUUUGAAAUAUUGUGAAAAUUACCAAAGCGUGACACAGGACAAAAGCGAGCAUGUGCUAUUGGGAAAAUGGUGCUGAUAGACUUGCUUGACACAGGGUUGCCACAAACCUUCAAUUUGCAAAAACGCACUCUCUGUGAAGCACGAUAAAGUGGGCUACAAGAAAAUGAGGUCUGCCUGCCUCUGUGCGCUGUACAUGAAAACAAGCCUAAUUUUCAAGAGACCUUGGCAGUGGCUGUUUGUUUUUGUGACUGUUGAGGUUUUUUUGUUUUUGAGUUUCAUCUUGUUUUUAAAU
rnacentral:lncRNA from 1 species